UUAAACUCCUGUCAGCAGGGAAAAAAGCGAAUCGGUCGAAUACACCGGUGAGUUGAUUGUACCUGCAGAGGAAGCCCCGGCUAACUCUGUGC
rnacentral:rRNA from 1 species